UUUCUGUAUCACCAGGGGUUGUCGGAGUUGGGUCCACUGAAAAAUGUACAGUGCUAAAUCACAGCAUAUGCUGCCUCGGAGGAAAAAUGCAGAAGAGACUGGACGUACAGCAGUAUAUGGGCGCCUCCUAGCGUUUGGAUUAUUUCUGCCUGGAAUCGCUCUUUAAGGUGGAAGAGCCAUCUUAAAUGGAAACUACAUCGGUCGCUCGCCUCUCACAUACACCAAAGUAACAUGCGCCUAUUUUAAUCUGAUUAAUGCUUUUGAGAUUUCCUUCUAAUUGACUUGGACGUUGCAGAGGUGCGUUUGUAGGUCUCCGCUCCACAUUUUCUCCGGAGUGAUUUUUCACGCACGGGAAUAUUGCAGCGUUUCGGUUAAUUUUGUUCAGUUUAUUGAAACGAUCAAAACUGAACACCGUGCCUCAUCACAGACCAUUCAAAAGCCAGUGAACAAGACAGCCGAAAGCAAUCCAGCAGAAGUAAAUUAUAACGAACCGAUGCAAAGUGGAUUUUACCCCAAGAUCAAGAAGCCUGGCUCUGUGCCCAAAUAUGGUGUAAUUUGUUCAGCAUUACCUUCAGUCUUAAAACAACACCAUUGUCCUGGGAAUUCAGAAGACUCGCUGCUUCUUCACAGGAUAGUAUAAUCAGCGGUCUGGCAGACCAGCAGUGCAUUGUGUCAGAGCUCUCUGCAGGACUAUGAAGACUGAAGAAUGCUGAGUGCUGACAUCAACACCUAAUGCAUGAUGGGAGGAGGAUCGUCAUGCAAACAUCCCACAGCACCAAAAUGCAGGGAAGGUAAGCCUUAAUGUACGUGUUUGAGUUACUGGAGCAACUAACCUGUGAUAGAUUCUCUUACAGGCAACAGGAUCAAAGGGUCAGCUGACAACAAACUGUUUGAAUCGUCUACGUAUGUAUAGUAAUUGUGCACCAUUUGCUGUGAUAUGUGAAUAUACAUGAUAAUGGCAAUAGCUUUAUGAUGACAAGAGUAGAAAUGUUGAAUUUAAAAACAAAAAUGCUGUACAAUAAUUUCUGCCCAAAGUAAAUAAACUGCUCCUCAAUGCA